rnacentral:rRNA from 1 species
UACGGAGGGUGCAAGCGUUAUCCGGAUUUACUGGGUUUAAAGGGUGCGUAGGUGGGUAGGUAAGUCAGUGGUGAAAUCUUCGAGCUUAACUCGGAAACUGCCAUUGAUACUAUUUAUCUUGAAUACUUUGGAGGUAAGCGGAAUAUGUCAUGUAGCGGUGAAAUGCUUAGAUAUGACAUAGAACACCAAUUGCGAAGGCAGCUCACUACACGAAUAUUGACACUGAGGCACGAAAGCGUGGGGAUCAAACAGG